rnacentral:tRNA from 1 species
GGCCGGGUAGCUCAGUUUAUAGAGCGCUGUAUUCGCAUGCAGAGGUCACGGGUGAGAAUCCCGUCCCGGUCA